CCUACGGGAGGCAGCAGUAGGGGAUAUUGCACAAUGGGGGAAACCCUGAUCCAGCGACGCCGCGUGGGUGAAGAAGCGCCUCGGCGCGUAAAGCCCUGUCAGCAGGGAAGAAAAUGACGGUACCUGACGAAGAAGCCCCGGCUAACUACGUGCCAGCAGCCGCGGUAAUACGUAGGGGGCAAGCGUUAUCCGGAUUUACUGGGGGUAAAGGGGGCGCAGACGGCGAUGCAAGCCAGGAGUGAAAGCCCGGGGCCCAACCCCGGGACUGCACUUGGAACUGGGUGGCUGGAGUGCAGGAGGGGCAGGCGGAAUUCCAGGUGUAGCGGUGAAAUGCGUAGAUAUAAGGAGGAACACCGGUGGCGAAGGCGGCCUGCUGGACUGCAACUGACGUUGAGGCCCGAAAGCGUGGGGAGCAAACAGGAUUAGAUACCCUAGUAGUC
rnacentral:rRNA from 1 species